rnacentral:rRNA from 1 species
AGUGAACGCUGGCGGUAGGCCUAACACAUGCAAGUCGAACGGCAGCACAGUAAGAGCUUGCUCUUACGGGUGGCGAGUGGCGGACGGGUGAGGAAUACAUCGGAAUCUACUUUUUCGUGGGGGAUAACGUAGGGAAACUUACGCUAAUACCGCAUACGACCUACGGGUGAAAGCAGGGGAUCUUCGGACCUUGCGCGAUUGAAUGAGCCGAUGUCGGAUUAGCUAGUUGGCGGGGUAAAGGCCCACCAAGGCGACGAUCCGUAGCUGGUCUGAGAGGAUGAUCAGCCACACUGGAAAUGAGACACGGUCCAGACUCCUACGGGAGGCAGCAGUGGGGAAUAUUGGACAAUGGGCGCAAGCCUGAUCCAGCCAUACCGCGUGGGUGAAGAAGGCCUUCGGGUUGUAAAGCCUUUUUGUUGGGAAAGAAAAGCAGCAGGUUAAUACCCCGCUGUUCUGACGGUACCAAAAGAAUAAGCACCGGCUAACUUCGUG